rnacentral:rRNA from 1 species
GAUGAACGCUGGCGGCGUGCCUAACACAUGCAAGUCGAGCGAACAGAUGAGGAGCUUGCUCCUCUGACGUUAGCGGCGGACGGGUGAGUAACACGUGGAUAACCUCCCUAUCAGACUGGGAUAACCUCGGGAAACCGGAGCUAAUACCGUAUAAUAUCUUGAACCGCAUGGUUCAAUAGUGAAAGUCGGUUUUUCUGUCUCUUCUAGCUGGAUCCGCGCCUAGUUAGCUAGUUGGUAAGGUAACGGCUUAACAAGGCUACGAUGCGUAGCCGACCUGAGAGGGUGAUCGGCCACACGGGAACUGAGACACGGUCCAGACUCCUACGGUAGGCAGCAGUAGGGAAUCUUCCGCAAUGGGGGAAAGCCUGACGGAGCAACGCCGCGUGAGUGAUGAAGGUCUUCGGAUCGUAAAACUCUGUUAUUAGGGAAGAACAAAUGUGUAAGUAACUAUGCACGUCUUGACGGUACCUAAUCAGAAAGCCACGGCUAACUACGUG